rnacentral:rRNA from 1 species
UACAGAGGGGGCAAGCGUUGUUCGGAAUUACUGGGCGUAAAGGGCGCGUAGGCGGCCCGCUAAGUCGAACGUGAAAUCCCCGGGCUCAACCCGGGAACUGCGUCCGAUACUGGCAGGCUUGAAUCCGGGAGAGGGAUGCGGAAUUCCAGGUGUAGCGGUGAAAUGCGUAGAUAUCUGGAGGAACACCGGUGGCGAAGGCGGCAUCCUGGACCGGUAUUGACGCUGAGGCGCGAAAGCCAGGGGAGCAAACCGG